UGGCAAGCGUUGUCCGGAUUUAUUGGGCGUAAAGCGAGCGCAGGCGGGUGCUUAGGUCUGAUGUGAAAGCCUUCGGCUCAACCGGAGAAUUGCAUCAGAAACUGUUGAACUUGAGUGCAGAAGAGGAGAGAGGAACUCCAUGUGUAGCGGUGGAAUGCGUAGAUAUAUGGAAGAACACCAGUGGCGAAGGCGGCUCUCUGGUCUGUAACUGACGCUGAGGCUCGAAAGCAUGGGUAGCGAACA
rnacentral:rRNA from 1 species